UACAGAGGCCCCAAGCGUUACUGAGAAUCACUGGGCUUAAAGGGUGCGUAGGUGGCGCGUUAAGUCCGUUGUGAAAUCCCUUGGCUCAACCAAGGAAAUGCUUCGGAUACUGGCGUGCUUGAGGCUAGUAGGGGUCACUGGAACUGACGGUGGAGCGGUGAAAUGCGUAGAUAUCGUCAGGAACGCCGAUGGUGAAGACAGGUGACUGGGCUAGUUCUGACACUGAGGCACGAAAGCGUGGGGAGCGAACGGG
rnacentral:rRNA from 1 species